UUAAGCGACUAAGCGUACACGGUGGAUGCCCUGGCAGUCAGAGGCGAUGAAGGGCGUGCUAAUCUGCGAUAAGCGCCGGUAAGGUGAUAUGAACCGUUAUAACCGGCGAUACCCGAAUGGGGAAACCCAGUGUGAUUCGUCACACUAUCAUUAACUGAAUCCAUAGGUUAAUGAGGCGAACCGGGGGAACUGAAACAUCUAAGUACCCCGAGGAAAAGAAAUCAACCGAGAUUCCCCCAGUAGCGGCGAGCGAACGGGGAGGAGCCCAGAGCCUGAAUCAGCAUGUGUGUUAGUGGAAGCGUCUGGAAAGGUGCGCGAUACAGGGUGACAGCCCCGUACACAAAAGCGCAUGUGCUGUGAGCUCGAUGAGUAGGGCGGGACACGUGGUAUCCUGUCUGAAUAUGGGGGGACCAUCCUCCAAGGCUAAAUACUCCUGACUGACCGAUAGUGAACCAGUACCGUGAGGGAAAGGCGAAAAGAACCCCGGCGAGGGGAGUGAAAAAGAACCUGAAACCGUGUACGUACAAGCAGUGGGAGCACAGGUUUACCUGUGUGACUGCGUACCUUUUGUAUAAUGGGUCAGCGACUUAUAUUCUGUAGCAAGGUUAACCGUAUAGGGGAGCCGUAGGGAAACCGAGUCUUAACCGGGCGUUAAGUUGCAGGGUAUAGACCCGAAACCCGGUGAUCUAGCCAUGGGCAGGUUGAAGGUUGGGUAACACUAACUGGAGGACCGAACCGACUAAUGUUGAAAAAUUAGCGGAUGACCUGUGGCUGGGGGUGAAAGGCCAAUCAAACCGGGAGAUAGCUGGUUCUCCCCGAAAGCUAUUUAGGUAGCGCCUCGUGAAUUCAUCUCCGGGGGUAGAGCACUGUUUCGGCUAGGGGGCCAUCCCGGCUUACCAACCCGAUGCAAACUGCGAAUACCGGAGAAUGUUAUCACGGGAGACACACGGCGGGUGCUAACGUCCGUCGUGAAGAGGGAAACAACCCAGACCGCCAGCUAAGGUCCCAAAGUCAUGGUUAAGUGGGAAACGAUGUGGGAAGGCCCAGACAGCCAGGAUGUUGGCUUAGAAGCAGCCAUCAUUUAAAGAAAGCGUAAUAGCUCACUGGUCGAGUCGGCCUGCGCGGAAGAUGUAACGGGGCUAAACCAUGCACCGAAGCUGCGGCAGCGAACGUAUCACCCAAGACAACUUUACGGAGUUGACGAUUGACGGAGCGAAGCGACGUCAAAGCGUUCAUUAAAGUCGAGUUGGCUUAGGGAUACGUUCGUUGGGUAGGGGAGCGUUCUGUAAGCCUGUGAAGGUGUGUCGUGAGGCAUGCUGGAGGUAUCAGAAGUGCGAAUGCUGACAUAAGUAACGAUAAAGCGGGUGAAAAGCCCGCUCGCCGGAAGACCAAGGGUUCCUGUCCAACGUUAAUCGGGGCAGGGUGAGUCGACCCCUAAGGCGAGGCCGAAAGGCGUAGUCGAUGGGAAACGGGUUAAUAUUCCCGUACUUGGUGUUACUGCGAAGGGGGGACGGAGAAGGCUAUGUUGGCCGGGCGACGGUUGUCCCGGUUUAAGCGUGUAGGUGUGUGUUCCAGGUAAAUCCGGUUCACUUUAACACUGAGGCGUGACGACGAGGCACUACGGUGCUGAAGCAACAAAUGCCCUGCUUCCAGGAAAAGCCUCUAAGCAUCAGGUAACACGAAAUCGUACCCCAAACCGACACAGGUGGUCAGGUAGAGAAUACCAAGGCGCUUGAGAGAACUCGGGUGAAGGAACUAGGCAAAAUGGUGCCGUAACUUCGGGAGAAGGCACGCUGACACGUAGGUGAAGUGAUUUACUCAUGGAGCUGAAGUCAGUCGAAGAUACCAGCUGGCUGCAACUGUUUAUUAAAAACACAGCACUGUGCAAACACGAAAGUGGACGUAUACGGUGUGACGCCUGCCCGGUGCCGGAAGGUUAAUUGAUGGGGUCAGCGUAAGCGAAGCUCCUGAUCGAAGCCCCGGUAAACGGCGGCCGUAACUAUAACGGUCCUAAGGUAGCGAAAUUCCUUGUCGGGUAAGUUCCGACCUGCACGAAUGGCGUAAUGAUGGCCAGGCUGUCUCCACCCGAGACUCAGUGAAAUUGAACUCGCUGUGAAGAUGCAGUGUACCCGCGGCAAGACGGAAAGACCCCGUGAACCUUUACUAUAGCUUGACACUGAACAUUGAGCCUUGAUGUGUAGGAUAGGUGGGAGGCUUUGAAGUGUGGACGCCAGUCUGCAUGGAGCCGACCUUGAAAUACCACCCUUUAAUGUUUGAUGUUCUAACGUGGACCCGUAAUCCGGGUUGCGGACAGUGUCUGGUGGGUAGUUUGACUGGGGCGGUCUCCUCCUAAAGAGUAACGGAGGAGCACGAAGGUUGGCUAAUCCUGGUCGGACAUCAGGAGGUUAGUGCAAUGGCAUAAGCCAGCUUGACUGCGAGCGUGACGGCGCGAGCAGGUGCGAAAGCAGGUCAUAGUGAUCCGGUGGUUCUGAAUGGAAGGGCCAUCGCUCAACGGAUAAAAGGUACUCCGGGGAUAACAGGCUGAUACCGCCCAAGAGUUCAUAUCGACGGCGGUGUUUGGCACCUCGAUGUCGGCUCAUCACAUCCUGGGGCUGAAGUAGGUCCCAAGGGUAUGGCUGUUCGCCAUUUAAAGUGGUACGCGAGCUGGGUUUAGAACGUCGUGAGACAGUUCGGUCCCUAUCUGCCGUGGGCGCUGGAGAACUGAGGGGGGCUGCUCCUAGUACGAGAGGACCGGAGUGGACGCAUCACUGGUGUUCGGGUUGUCAUGCCAAUGGCACUGCCCGGUAGCUAAAUGCGGAAGAGAUAAGUGCUGAAAGCAUCUAAGCACGAAACUUGCCCCGAGAUGAGUUCUCCCUGAGACUUAGAGUCUCCUGAAGGAACGUUGAAGACGACGACGUUGAUAGGCCGGGUGUGUAAGCGCAGCGAUGCGUUGAGCUAACCGGUACUAAUGAACCGUGAGGCUUAACCUU
rnacentral:rRNA from 2 species